GUGCUCGCUUUCAGCAGCACAUACACUAAAAUUGUACCGAUACAGAGAUUAGCAUGGCCCCUGUGCAAGGAUGACAUGCAAAUUCAUGAAACGUUCCAUAUUUUU